GACAGAAGUAUUUUUAUUGGGCUCACGCAUUGGCGUUCUUAUGAGCAUCGGUCGUCACCCGUCAGAUAUUUUCCGAGCAUCACAUAUAUUGGGUGAAAUUUUGAUUCUCAAAUUCGUUUCUCUCCGCGCUCAAAUUACAAUUCGGAACCGCAAGUAAUCCUCUCGACGCUUGAGGGCAGAAACACUGCCAUGAAUUUUGAUUCUUGAAAAACAACAGACGGAAGAGACUUGCCUUCGGUGGUCUUCGGAACCGCACCGAAACUUCGAUAACCCUAGGUUUCUUCUCUGCAAUCUUAGUCGUGAUUGCUAACUCCAAAAGGAUCUGAAUAUGAAUCCUUACGACAACAGAUAUACUGACUCGACUUCUUAUCGCAACCGCAGGAGUGAUUUAGUUGGAUCUAUGGCGCCGAUGGUCCCUCCAGUGAUUGGGGGUGCCAGCUCGAGCUACAGCCGCGGAGGUCCUGCUCCUCAUGUUCCUCCACCGGUUGGUUAUAAUAUGGGUGGAAGAGGAGCUGGGGGUGCUUUUGGAACGGCACCUGUUGCCCCAAAUUAUAAUGAGUUGCCGCCGUUUAUGCCACCUCCUGGAGGCUUUGACAUAGGUCGCGGAGGUGGGACUAGCCAAAGAGGAUUCGGUGGUAGACACGGAAACGGUUAUGUUGGUGAUAGAAAAGAUGACAUAGGUCGUCGCGGGGGUGGAAGAGAUCGGGGCAGCAGUUUGAUGGGAGGCCGGGGAGGUGGUAGAUUUGGUGGGUCUCACGGGGAUAAGACUUGGGGGAGAGGUGGGGCUGGAGCUAGAGGAUUCGGUGGAGCCGCUGGAUUGGGUGGUGGCCGUGGCCGUGGCCGUGGUGAUGGUGGCGGAGGGAGAGGAGGAAGACAUGGUGGAUCUUCCAAGGAUGACUUGGACAACAUAGCACUUCCCAAGCAAGAUUUUAGAAAUUUGGUUCCCUUUGAGAAGAAUUUUUACAUUGAAAGCCCAUCGGUACGGGCAAUGUCUGAUCAUGAGCUUAUGGUUUACCGUGCCACUAGGGAGAUCACAGUGCAAGGGCAAGACAUUCCUAAACCAAUUCGAACGUUUCAAGAUGCAAACUUUCCUGAUUACUGCCUUGAGGUGAUUGCCAAAUUGGGUUUUGUGGAGCCUACACCAAUUCAGGCUCAAGGUUGGCCCAUGGCUCUGAAGGGUAGAGAUUUGAUUGGCAUUGCUGAGACUGGCUCAGGAAAAACACUCGCAUAUCUGCUUCCUUCUUUAGUGCACAUCAGCGCACAACCUCGAUUGGUACAAGGUGAAGGUCCCAUUGUCUUAGUUCUGGCACCCACUAGAGAGUUAGCGGUUCAAAUUCAGGAAGAAGCUUUAAAAUUUGGUUCUCGAACAAAUAUUAGAAGUACUUGUAUCUAUGGUGGUGCCCCAAAGGGGCCUCAAAUUCGUGAUCUUAAAAGAGGUGUUGAAAUCGUUAUUGCUACACCUGGUCGGCUAAUAGAUAUGUUGGAAGCUCAGCACACAAAUCUGCGAAGAGUGACUUACCUUGUGUUGGAUGAAGCUGAUAGAAUGCUGGACAUGGGCUUUGAACCUCAGAUAAGAAAAAUUGUUGGGCAGAUCCGGCCUGAUAGACAGACAUUGUACUGGAGUGCAACAUGGCCCAGAGAGGUUGAAACUCUGGCAAGGCAGUUUCUACGCAACCCAUAUAAGGUAAUUAUUGGAUCAUCAGAUCUGAAAGCAAAUCAAUCUAUAAAUCAAGUUGUUGAAGUUGUAACAGAGGUGGAGAAAUACAAUAGAUUGAUCAGAUUGCUUAAAGAAAUGAUGGAUGGAAGUCGAAUUCUUAUAUUCAUUGAGACAAAAAAGGGUUGUGAUCAAGUUACAAGACAAUUGAGAAUGGAUGGCUGGCCUGCACUUUCUAUCCAUGGUGAUAAAAACCAGGCCGAAAGGGACUGGGUGUUGGCUGAAUUUAAGAGUGGCAGAAGUCCAAUAAUGACUGCCACUGAUGUUGCUGCUCGGGGUCUUGGUAGGAUCACUGUGUGUUAGGAAUGUUAGGCUUUUGGGAUUGGGCUAAAAAUUUAGAGACAGGUGAGUCGGCCAGCUGCUGUCCAGUUUCAAAUUUGUGGUUUGGGUAUGCAGGGAUGCCAUAUUGUCAGUCUAUUGGAACUUUCUCAAACUUGGCCAAGGGAUUAAUUGGUUGCACUGAAAGAUGAUGCUCUUUUGUUGCUUCCAGCAAACUGCCUGGUGCUGUUUUUGUUUUACUAUCAUAUUUUGAGUGGUCAUGUUACAUGGAUACCUGGAGCACAGUUCCAUUAAUAUGGCUGAGAUGCUGGUCUAUCAUUUCUGGCAUAGGCUACCACAGUGUGGGGCUGUGAUUAGAUAGGAUGGGUUAAUGCCUGGUAUUUAAGGUUAAUUACCAAUUAUUCCUAGCGAUACAACCGUUUUCCCUUUGUUUAAAAAUCUAGUUAAAUUGAUCGCAGCCCAUCCACAGUUAGGGAGCUGGUUGUCUCUGCAGCCUGGUUGACUCAUGCAUGCUUAGUGGAUAAUUGGAUAUGGGAGGUGGAAAUGAUGGUGAAGCUGCUCCUUAUCCCUGCAAGGUUAAGCCGUUAAGAUGUGAAGGACAUAAAAUGUGUGAUCAAUUAUGAUUUCCCCUCAAGCCUGGAAGAUUAUGUCCACAGAAUUGGUCGAACCGGUCGUGCAGGGGCUAAAGGAACUGCCUUCACCUUUUUCACGCAUGCAAAUGUCAAGUUUG